GGGGUUGUGGCUCAGUGGUAGAGCGCUUGCCUAGCAAGUGUGAGGCCCUGGGUUCAAUCCUCAGCACCA
rnacentral:tRNA from 1 species